GGCAGUUCCCAGCUCUGAGAACUGAAUUCCAUGGACUGGUUCCCUCUUCAU
rnacentral:miRNA from 1 species